UAGUCAUACGCUCGUCUCAAAGAUUAAGCCAUGCAUGUGUAAGUAUAAAUAGUUAACUUUGUAACUGCGAAUGGCUCAUUAUAUCAGUUAUAGUUUAUUUGAUGAAGAAUACUAAUUGGAUAACCGUAGUAAUUCUAGAGCUAAUACAUGUAUAAAGUCUUGUAGACUGCAUUUAUUAGAAUGAAAACCAUAGGUUUCGGCCUAUUCGUGAGUAAUAAUAACUAAUCAUAUCGUAUGCUUAUGUAACGAUG
rnacentral:rRNA from 1 species